UGAGACCAUGUCUGGGCACUACAAGUCCCAGCAGGCUUAGCGCCAUGCAAGGAAGUGUUGUUGUUUAUGUGCGGACACUUUAUUUCCUGAUUGCGGCGUAAAUUAACAACAGGUUGUAGAUUGCUCAGCGCUAUAUAAGUGAGUCAAAGUUUGUUUGCCAUUUUGCUGUCGUUGUUGCAUUCUGGUCGCGGCACGUAAAGGCCGAGUCAACACUUCACGUGAGGGGUAGCUGAUGAGCAAACAACAUUUAAUGCUGCCAGAUCUUCAUUGCGAACUUAUUUAAAGAGUGCUAUUACGGGAUCAUUGUUUGCUGAUUGUUGCCUGAGUGUCAGCAUGGGAAAUUAAGGAUCUUAGAGGGAUGCACGGUUGCCGUUUACUUUAGACUUACAAUAAUAUUUUUGUUAUUGAAUCUUUGUUGUUGACUUUUGUUGUAUGCGAAUUUGGGUUGUUUAUUAUGUUGCUAGGUUGACAACAAUUUGUAUUUUCCUUUGUUAAACUUUUCUUUCUUUUGUAGGUUCUGUUUUGGAUUUGCUUUACCAUCAGUGGCCACUGGGUUCCCUGCACUGUGUGGAUGGCGGUGGAGAAAAGGUGGUUGGGAUUGUGUGGUGAUUUGGUCACUGUUGAUUUUUGUGUUUUUUUAGGUUGCAGUGUGAUUGCUGCGAGCUGAGUGUGGUGAAAACACUGCUGCUUGGGUACCUCAUCUGUCCUCACUUUCUGGGUAACCGGUGGCCAUUAGUGGUUUGUUUUUUUCUUUUCUUUUAUUUAGUUUAUUUACUUUUUUUUCCUCCUUAUUUGCAAUAAAGAUGGAGACAAUUUGUAUAUUACUACUUGUGGAAUAAAAGAUAAUUGUCCUCCUAAUUGUAAGUCACUUCAUUUACCCUCUGCUGAAUCAUUAACACUGACAAAAGUCAUCUGGUCACAAUUGG